GGCCUGGCUGGCCGGUCUCCCUCACCGGAUGCACUGGUCCGGCCGGGCCUUUCCCUCUGUGGAACCUCAUGCCCUUUACUGGGUGUGUUGGGGAAGCAGGACUUUUACUUUGAAAAAAUUAGAGUGCUCCAAGCAGGCCUAUGCUCGAAUACUUCAGCAUGGAAUAAUGGAAUAGGACGUGUGGUUCUAUUUCGUUGGUUUCUAGGACCGCCGUA
rnacentral:rRNA from 1 species